rnacentral:rRNA from 1 species
GAUGAACGCUAGCUACAGGCUUAACACAUGCAAGUCGAGGGGAAACGAUAGAGAGAGCUUGCUUUUUCUAGGCGUCGACCGGCGCACGGGUGAGUAACGCGUAUCCAACCUGCCCACCACUUGGGGAUAACCUUGCGAAAGUAAGACUAAUACCCAAUGAUAUCUCAAGAAGACAUCUGAAUGAGAUUAAAGAUUUAUCGUUGAUGGAUGGGGAUGCGUCUGAUUAGCUUGUUGGCGGGGUAACGGCCCACCAAGGCGACGAUCAGUAGGGGGUCUGAGAGGAAGGUCCCCCACAUUGGAACCGAGACACGGUCCAAACUCCUACGGGAGGCAGCAGUGAGGAAUAUUGGUCAAUGGGCGAGAGCCUGAACCAGCCAAGUAGCGUGCAGGAUGACGGCCCUAUGGGUUGUAAACUGCUUUUAUAAGGGAAUAAAGUGAGUCUCGUGAGGCUUUUUGCAUGUACCUUAUGAAUAAGGACCGGCUAAUUCCGUGCCAGCCGCCGCUGUAA